GAACGCUGGCGGAAUGCUUUACACAUGCAAGUCGAGCGGUAGAGAGGUGCUUGCAUCUCUUGAGAGCGGCGGACGGGUGAGUAAUGCCUAGGAAUCUGCCUAGUGGUGGGGGAUAACGUUCGGAAACGGACGCUAAUACCGCAUACGUCCUACGGGAGAAAGCGGGGGAUCUUCGGACCUCGCGCCAUUAGAUGAGCCUAGGUCGGAUUAGCUAGUUGGUGAGGUAAUGGCUCACCAAGGCGACGAUCCGUAACUGGUCUGAGAGGAUGAUCAGUCACACUGGAACUGAGACACGGUCCAGACUCCUACGGGAGGCAGCAGUGGGGAAUAUUGGACAAUGGGCGAAAGCCUGAUCCAGCCAUGCCGCGUGUGUGAAGAAGGUCUUCGGAUUGUAAAGCACUUUAAGUUGGGAGGAAGGGUAGUAACCUAAUACGUUGCUACUUUGACAUUACCGACAGAAUAAGCACCGGCUAACUUCGUG
rnacentral:rRNA from 1 species